rnacentral:misc_RNA from 1 species
UCAAUCAAACAAAAUGGCGUACUAUGCUUUACAUUAUUGAAUAAGUCUAGAAAAUUGAGAAUUAAAUGGUGAUAAAAUUAUAAGAAUAUAAUAAUUUAUUAUAAUAAAACUGCAAUCAAGUGAACAUUCAUUUAGGUCAAAUAUAAGUUUAGUUUCUAGUGAAUUGUACGAAGUAAUGUUAGUGUAAAUAAUAAAUGCAUUUAUUCGGCGUGGUGAAUAGGUGAUAUAACUAAUUAUGACGCAGUUUCUACCGCCCAAUCUGCUCGCGCUCUUCGCAGCGCGGGACCCCAUACCUUACUUGCCACCCGCGGCGAAGCUUCCUCACGAGAAGAAACAGAAAGGGUACGAUGGCGUCGGCUCCUUCCUCCAUAUUUUUGAGCACCCAUCAGAGACUCCACCUCCGACCAGAGUGGAGACGAGGGAAGAGCGGCUGGAGAGGAGACGGAGGGAGAGAGCGGAGCAGACUGCGUACAAGCUGGAGCAGGAGAUAGCCAUGUGGGACCCCACCAGCAAUGUGCCAGUAACGGGGGACCCUUUCAAGACACUGUUUGUCGCUAGAGUUAACUAUGACACAUCAGAGUCCAAGCUCAGGAGAGAGUUUGAAACAUAUGGACCUAUUAAAAAAAUAUACAUGGUGUUUAACAAAGACAACGCCAAGCCGCGCGGGUAUGCCUUCAUAGAGUACGAGCACGAGAGAGACAUGCACUCGGCGUACAAGCACGCCGACGGCAAGAAGAUCGACGGCAAGCGCGUGCUGGUGGACGUCGAGCGCGCCCGGACGGUCAAGGGCUGGCUGCCGAGACGACUCGGCGGCGGGCUGGGCGGCACGCGGCGCGGCGGCGCCGACGUCAACAUCAAGCACUCGGGGCGCGAGGACAACGAGCGCGAGCGCGAGCGGUACCGCCUCGAGCAGCGCGACCGGGACCGCGACGAGCGGCGCGACCGUGGUCGCCGCCGCAGCCGCUCGCGCUCGCGCAAGCGCUCGGCGUCACGCUCGCGGCGCCGCGAGCGGGAGCGCGAGCGCGCCGAGCGACCCGAGCGGCCCGAGCGGAACUCGGACCGGGACAAGCGGGACGACGACGCGGAGAGGCCGCGUCGCCGACGCUCGCGGUCGCGCUCGGAGCGGCGCCGCGACCGCCGCGAGCGGGACAAGGAGCGGGACAAGGAUCGGGACAAGGAGCGGGACAAGCGGCGCCGGCGGGACAAGGAGCGCAAGGAGCCCAAGGUCAAGCCGGAGGACAUCAAGAUCAAGGAGGAGCCGCAGGACGAUUACCCCGAGUUCAACAUUGCACCCCUGGACGUCCACAUCAAGCAGGAGCCGGAGGACGACAACAAAUACAACCCCGAGGAGGCCAACGGGGAUGACUACAACUACUGAAACUCCUACACAUUGCAAUACGCGUACAGGAUAUAUAUCGUUUACUGUGACUUGUCGGACUGUCAAAAAUGAAGCAGCUGGUCUUUCAACUUCUAUACAAGGACAAAUGUGGUUCCUCGAGACUUGCAAUAAGACACUUAAGUAUAUCCUGUGUUGAAUAGAAUAAGGUAUUAAUUUUAAUGAUCUAUAAAUUAAAAAAACACUUGAAUGGA